rnacentral:rRNA from 1 species
GUGCCAGCCGCGCGGUAAUACCGGCAGCUCAAGUGAUGUCCCAUAUUAUUGGGCCUAAAGCGUCCGUAGCUGGCCGACCAAGUCUCCCGGGAAAUCCACCCGCCCAACGAGUGGGCGUCCGACGGAAACUGCACAGCUUGGGACCGGAAGGCUCAGAGAGUACGUCCGGGGUAGGAGUGAAAUCCCGUAAUCCCGGACGGACUACCGAUGGCGAAAGCACUCUGAGAAGACGGCUUCGACAGUGAGGGACGAAAGCUCGGGUCUCAAACCGGAUUAGAAACCCCAGUAGUCC